CCUCGAGAGUGCUAGCUCACGAAGACAUCAUAUUUUGACUGAUCUUAGAGGAAUAUGAAGAGGAUGAAGAAUAAGAAAACCCUUCCUUUUCUUCCUGGAUCCACUCAUCAACUCUCUACAAUAGAGAUCAAGAGAAGAAUCCUUUCUUCUUAAUUUUUCCAUGCAUAAGAAAGAACCUUUCUCUCUUCCUUUCACACCUUUAAGAAAAAUUUUUCUUCUCUGAUUCUUUUUGAUAAAAAUCAG
rnacentral:lncRNA from 1 species